ACAUACGGAGUAGCUCUCUUUCUCUCUCCUAGGUCUUCGGCAUCCCUGCUCCCUCCCGUUUUCUCUCUCCUUCCUCUUCAUCUUCUUCGAUCUUCUUCCUCUAAUCCUCUUCCACCAAACCCCAUCCUCCAUUCUAAACCCUAAUAUUUCGUGUCUCUUUCACAGGACACGCAGACUCUCUCCUCCACCCAUCGCCAUCGCCAUCGCCGGUUCUUUCGAUUUCAAUUAAUGAGAAUUGGCCACUGCACUCCGCCGUUGUCUCCGCCCUGAGCAGUUCCGCUCUUUUCCUGCCUUCAAAUCGAUCUGAUUGUUGAAUCCAAAUUGAAAUUCAGCCCUUUUCUUCCUAAAACGUUGUGGGUUUCUAUCAAUUCUCGACACAAAAUCUUGGAAACCAAUAAAUUUCUCACCUGGUUAUUAUGAGAUCUGGAGAUUUUGUUGAUCAUGUGCUCUUUCUGAUUUUGGUUUGGAUUUCUUAACAAGCUCUUCAAUAAUCAAAUGGUAUUACAUCUGACCUAAUUUCAGUUUCGAUUUUAUUAUAUUUUUGUGUAAUAUUUCUGUAUUUCGAUAGGAUUUUGAAACCUGUAAUGGAAUUGAGGAAGUUGCUGCAAUUAUUAGAGACAAACAAGAAUGUCGAAGAACUCUUUCUUCUGAUCUCAACGACCAUGUCUCCUUUUAUUUAUUUUCUGCUUAAUUAUGGAUUAAUUCAGCAAUUAAUUACAUUUAAUAAUUGUUUUUUUUUUUGUUAUUCGAUUAUCUUUAGCAGGUGCUGGUUGAAGGAAAUUCGCAUAGUCGUACUGCUGUUUUCUGGCUUGCAUAAACAGGACUACGGGUAUUAUGGGCAAGAAACAAGGGGAAGUAGAAAAGGGGCAGAGGAGAUAUGAUAAUGGUAGUGGGGACUUUUAUACAGAGCCAUCAAUGUAGCGGGUGAUUCCAUCUCGAAUUUCAAAGAAAAACAAGGGCCAGAUAUCACCGAACGAGUUCAUCCCCGGGCUUUUGGAUCUUCACUCUCAUGAUGCUGAACUUCUCACUGAGAUUUAUUGUUGAAGGUUCAGAACUCGAUCGUCGGCAACUGGAGUAGUCGAUCUUUAUUAGUCGUAGAGCAGUUGAUCGAUCUGCAGCAGCAUACCAAAACUCAGUAGCAGUGCAUUGUAUCGCAUAUGCUGCAUACCAAAGGCCAAAGAUUGGCAUACAACUGGAUUAGGUUUGGAUGAAAAUUUUCUGUUGGAAUUUUUACUGUUAUGAGAACGAUAUGUUGGACAAUAUUGAUGUAGAUGUGAUUAUACAUUUUGCAUCUCAAAAUUCUAGACAAAAUCGAUUUUUAUGAUUUAUAAUAGGAGUUGAAUGAAGAGGAAAAGUUUAAUGUAUGUUUUUACGGAGUAAUACUUUGUAGAACUAAGUUUAUUUA